rnacentral:rRNA from 1 species
AUUGAACGCUGGCGGCAGGCCUAACACAUGCAAGUCGAGCGGAUCGGCGGACGGGUGCGUAUUGCCUAGGAAUCUGCCUGGUAGUGGUGGAUAACGUUCGGUAACGGGCGCUAUUACCGCAUCCUUUCAGUUUUGCCUAGGUCGGAUUAGCUGGUUGGUGGGGUAAAGGCCUACAACGGCGACGAUCCGUAACUGGUCUGAGAGGAUGAUCAGUCACACUGGAACUGAGACACGGUCCAGACUCCUACGGGAGGCAGCAGUGGGGAAUAUUGGACAAUGGGCGAAAGCCUGAUCCAGCCAUGCCGCGUGUGUGAAGAAGGUCUUCGGAUUGUAAAGCACUUUAAGUUGGGAGGCGUUACCAACAGAAUAAGCACCGGCUAACUUCGUGCCAGCAGCCGCGGUAAUAC